GCUAUGAUAUUUUAAAAAAGAAUAGUUGUUUUGUAAUCAACAGGUUGUAGUAGCU
rnacentral:tRNA from 1 species